rnacentral:lncRNA from 1 species
GGAGACUCGUAUCCUACACUUGGAAGCUAUGAACCAAAUCCUAAUUUAUGCUCUUCAAGAAGCUAAUAGACAAGUUAUGGAUUCAAUAUUACGAAGAAGAACUGUUGAAAGAUUACUAGCUAGACGUUCUUAUGAGUGGGAAAAAGCCUAUGAAGAUGUGGUGGAGCUAAGAAGACAAAUGAAGCUUAUGGAAAAUGCUAAUGAUGAAAUGAGAGGAUAUAACACUUACAUAGAAGGCAUAAUCAAGAAAUGGUGGAUACAAUCGAAGAAGACAAGGCU